GUAGAAGUAGUAGUAGUAGUAACAGCAGCAGCAGCAGUAGUAGUAGUAGUCGCUGCAGCAGGAGUUGUAAUAGUAGCAGCAGCAGCAGUAGCAGUAGUAGUAGUAGCAGCAGCAGCAGGAGUAGUAGCAGCAGCAGCAGUAGCAGCAGCAGUAGCAGUAGUAGUAGUAGUUGAAGCAGUAGUAGUAGUUGAAGUAGUAGUAGUAGUAGUAGUAGUAGCAGUAGUAGCAGCAGUAGUAGUAGUAGUAGUAGUAGUAGUAGUAGUAGUAGAUGUAGUAGUAGUAGUAGUAGUAGAAGUAGAAGUAGUAGUAGUAGUAGUAGUAGCAGUAGUAGUAGUAGUAGUAGUAGUAGUAGGUAGUUGUUGUUGUUGUUGUGGCUGUUGUAAUAGUAGUAGUAGUUUUGCAGAAGUAGUAGUAGUAGUAGUAGUACUAGUAGUAGAAGUAAAAGUAGUAACUUUCAACAAGUUUAAAUUCCUUAACCCUGUUCAAGGUGUAUACACACUCAAUAUUUAACUACAGUCCAGGUUUGCAAUUAACAAACUAUCUGAAAAGCCUGUGUGUGAGUCAGAUGUGUCUGCGGCUAAUCUAUUGGUUAUAAAAUAUCACAGCCUUUUCUGAUUGGCUGAGUUCAAAUACAGAAAGUUUACCUGUUAGAUUGAAAUUAUGGAGAAGGCGUAUUGAAGAAAAAAUGCAGGUUAAACUUGUUGUUAAAAUGAAGUUAAUGUAAUUUCACAAACAGUAGAGUUUAACUUAAUGAGUUUUUUCCAUUAACAAGAAUUUCUUAAAAUAAUAAUGUAUGGAUAUCAUUUGGAAAGUGACAUGAAAUGUUGUUAAAAAGUGAUGCAUACAAGUGUUUCAGAAGUCUGUCUAGGAAUAGAACAACAACUGAAGCUGACCAGUUGAUGGAAGAUACUGCAGAGUUUGGCAGGGACAUAACCCAAGACAGCAAAGCGGCUCUUUUGGCGCAUUUACCAAGAGGACUAACAUGGCCACAAAUUCAUGAGAUCAUGCAGGAGCCGUACAGUAUAACAGCAGUACAAGUUCUAUAAAAGAUCCACGACCUACUGAAGCCCAGCUAAUUAACAAAAAAGUUUUUAAAAACUGUAAUUUUAUCCCACCUGGGUACUUAUAAUUUACUAACUGUCACUUGGAAAGUAAUACAUGUACAUGCAUUCAUGUUCUGAAUUUCUUUGAACAAUAAAAUUAUAUAAAAGUAUUUUAAUGAAAUUGAGCACCUAAAUUGCAUUAAAGUGAAAGUAGCUGAGAAAAAUAGUAGUGCUGCAACAAUACGCCAAAAACCGUAUUGCAAUAUAUUGUCAGCUCAAAAA